ACCGGGCUUGGUUGGGUGUUACUGUGAGGUCACCAGGACUGCACCGCACGGCCCUGGAGGUGAGGGGUGCCCACCGACCCUGAGGCGGUUUCCUGGAGAUGAUGGAGGCCAGGAACCUCCUCAGGAGAAGUCGCUGAGCCAUCUGUGAGGGAAAGAGGCAGGAACAGUUCGAGAAGUCAACACCGCAGGAAAAGAAAGGAACUUAAGUUACCUGCAUAGAAGCUUCGCAGAUCGGUGUCCAAACAGUUCUCCAGGAAGCGCCUCAGAGACGCGCAUGGACUGAGGGCCACGGUGAUUGCUUCAGAGCUGCUCUUUCUCUGAGGAGACUCGGAGGCCCCGCGAGAAGGAUCUGGGGGCUCAUCUAGUCCAGCUUCCCACCUGGUGUGGACUCCCUGGCAGACGGCCAUGAAGUCGCGACUCAACCAUCCUCAUACCGGGAAGCUCGAUGUCCGGGGGCGACCCAUUCCACUGCUGGACAGCUUUGAGUAGGAGUCACUCCUGAUUCUGAAUAGAAGCCUGCGCUCCUGUCACUUUGACCUGC